AUUGAACGCUGGCGGCAGGCCUAACACAUGCAAGUCGAGCGAGCGGCGGACGGGUGAGUAAUGUAUGGGGACUGCCCGAUAGAGGGGGAUAACUACUGGAAACGGUGGCUAAUACCGCAUACUAUCGGAUAACCCAUAUGGGAUUAGCUAGUAGGUGGGGUAAAGGCUCACCUAGGCGACGAUCUCUAGCUGGUCUGAGAGGAUGAUCAGCCACACUGGGAAUGGGACCAGGGCCAGACUCCUUCGGAGGCAGCAAGGGGGAAUUUUCCGAAAUGGACGAAAGUCUGAAGGAACAACGCCGCGUGGGAGGUGGCGGCCUUCGGGUUGUAAAACUAUGUUAAUCGGGGCGCGGUACCGGAAGAGGAAGCAACGGCUAACUACGUGCCAGCAGCCGCGGUAAUAC
rnacentral:rRNA from 1 species